rnacentral:rRNA from 1 species
UACGGGGGGGGCAAGCGUUGUUCGGAAUUACUGGGCGUACAGGGCUCGUAGGCGGCCAACUAAGUCAGACGUGAAAUCCCUCGGCUUAACCGGGGAACUGCAUCUGAUACUGGAUGGCUUGAGUUCGGGAGAGGGAUGCGGAAUUCCUGGUGUAGCGGUGAAAUGCGCAGAUAUCAGGAGGAACACCGAUGGCGAAGGCAGCUUACUGGGCCGAAACUGACGCUGAGGAGCGAAAGCGUGGGGAGCGAACAGG